UCAGGACUGAGGUAACGAGACAUCAAAGGCUUUACCUCUGGAGUACAGGUUCUGUCUCCUCGGACUGGAAGGUAAAUCGGCAUUGAUUACAGCCCCCUGUUGACCAAAGAGGAAAAGCCAAGGAGGCAGUUGGCCCAUUUUCUCCUUCACAACCAUUGACUCUUCAGGUCUGCUGACAACAGGGAGAAUGCCUAGGUCCACCCUCCUGUGAGUCAAGAGACCCUAGCCCUACUAGGAAGGCCUGCAGGAGGGCACCAACCAACAGGCUUUGGGGGAGCAACACCUGCAGUUACAUUCAAAGGCAUGACUUUUCCAAGCGUUUGUGAGCUGGCCGGCAUUGUCCCCAAAAGGAUAAAGGCCUAGGUUCUUUACCUGACUGGCAGAAGCAUUCCAGCACCACGAAAGGACUCUAAACAUUGUUUUCUUCAACAAAGAUUCCCAGAGUUGUGGGCCAUACUCUUAACACUGAAGUGCAUAGAACUUGGCAGAAAUCUACACUUCAGAGAUAAUAACAUAUCAUUCCAUGAAAUAAAGGAAAAGGCAUAAUCAAAAAAAGAAGUUAAAUAUGGAAACCUGUUUUGACAACAAAGAAAUACAGAUGAAGCCAGACAGGAAAGGUGUUAUGUAUGCAUGUUUUUUUCAUGGUUCACAUAAAUUAUGAUAUUGUAAGAACCUA